rnacentral:rRNA from 1 species
UGAGGAAUAUUGGUCAAUGGACGCAAGUCUGAACCAGCCAAGUAGCGUGCAGGAUGACGGCCCUAUGGGUUGUAAACUGCUUUUGUUUGGGAAUAAUCGACAUUACGUGUAAUGUUUUGCAUGUACCAUUCGAAUAAGGACCGGCUAAUUUCGUGCCAGCAGCCGCGGUAAUACGGAAGGUCCAGGCGUUAUCCGGAUUUAUUGGGUUUAAAGGGAGUGUAGACGGUUGGUUAAGCGUGUUGUGAAAUGUAGAUGCUCAACAUCUGACUUGCAGCGCGAACUGGCUGACUUGAGUACACACAACGUAGGCGGAAUUCAUGGUGUAGCGGUGAAAUGCUUAGAUAUCAUGAAGAACUCCGAUUGCGAAGGCAGCUUACGGGAGUGUUACUGACGCUUAAGCUCGAUGGUGCGGGUAUCGAACAGG